rnacentral:rRNA from 1 species
AUGUCUUCCUCCGCCACCUCCCACCCAAACCUUAGUGGUCAGGUCACGGAGAAGCUCUCCAGCACAAACUAUGUGCUCUGGCGUACCCAGAUCACGCCGCAACUGAGGGGAGCCGGUGUCUUCGGCUAUGUCGACGGCACCGCACCAAAUCCGGCUCGGCUUCUCGUCACCAAGGACAAGGACGGGAAGGAGAACUCCGAGCUCAAUCCUCUCCACCCCAUCUGGGUCAGAGAGGACCAGCAGGUGCUCGGCUAUCUGCUCAACAACCUCACAAAAGAGCUGCUCGUCACGGUGACCACGAUCACCACCAUGCAUGGCCUCUGGACGGCGCUGGUAGGUAUGUUUUCAUCGCAGUCCUUGAGCCGCGUCAACAACAUCCGUAUUGCCCUCAUCAAUGCGCAGAAGGGCAACCAGUCGGUUGCCACCUAUUUCGCCUUCAUGCGCGAGCUCGCCGACGAGCUCGCCGUGGCCGGCAAAGCAAUCCAGGAUGACGAGCUCAUAUCCUACAUCCUUCACGGGCUGGACAUGGACUACCAGCCCCUCGUCUCGGCCCUCGACGCCCGUGACACGCCUAUCUCCCUCGACGAGCGCGUCGCUCAGUUCUAG